GUCUUAAAGAAUUUUAUUUUAAGUCUAAUCUGCCCACUGAAAUUUAUUUAAAGGGCCGCAGUAUAAAUGUGCAAAGGUAGCAUAAUAAUUAGUCUUUUAAUUGGAGACUAGAAUGAAUGAUUGGACGAAAUAUUAACUGUUUAAAUUUUAAAAAUAAAAUUUAUUUUUUUAGUGAAAAAACUAAAAUUAUUUAAAAAGACAAGAAGACCCUAUAGAUCUUUAUAAAUUUAAUUUUUUAUAAUAAAUUUAUAUUAAAUUAAAUUAUUUAAUUGGGGUGAUUGAAAAAUUUAAAUAACUUUUAUUUAUAUAAACAUUAAUUAAUGGUAAUUUUUUAUAAUCUAUUUUAUAUAUUAAUAUUUAUAUUUAUUAAUAAAGAAAAAGAUACCUUAGGGAUAACAGCGUAAUUUUAAUUUUAAGUUCUUAUUGAAAUUAGAGAUUGCGACCUCGAUGUUGGAUUAAAAUUAAUAUUAAAUGUAGGUGUUUAAUAAUUAAGUCUGUUCGACUUUUAAAUUUUU
rnacentral:rRNA from 1 species